rnacentral:rRNA from 1 species
GACGAACGCUGGCGGCGUGCUUAACACAUGCAAGUCGAACGGAAAGGCCCUGCUUUUGUGGGGUGCUCGAGUGGCGAACGGGUGAGUAACACGUGAGUAACCUGCCCUUGACUUUGGGAUAACUUCAGGAAACUGGGGCUAAUACCGGAUAGGAGCUCCUGCUGCAUGGUGGGGGUUGGAAAGUUUCGGCGGUUGGGGAUGGACUCGCGGCUUAUCAGCUUGUUGGUGGGGUAGUGGCUUACCAAGGCUUUGACGGGUAGCCGGCCUGAGAGGGUGACCGGCCACAUUGGGACUGAGAUACGGCCCAGACUCCUACGGGAGGCAGCAGUGGGGAAUAUUGCACAAUGGGCGGAAGCCUGAUGCAGCAACGCCGCGUGCGGGAUGACGGCCUUCGGGUUGUAAACCGCUUUCGCCUGUGACGAAGCGUGAGUGACGGUAAUGGGUAAAGAAGCACCGGCUAACUACGUGCCAGCAGCCGCGGUGAUACGUAGGGUGCGAGCGUUGUCCGGAUUUAUUGGGCGUAAAGGGCUCGUAGGUGGUUGAUCGCGUCGGAAGUGUAAUCUUGGGGCUUAACCCUGAGCGUGCUUUCGAUACGGGUUGACUUGAGGAAGGUAGGGGAGAAUGGAAUUCCUGGUGGAGCGGUGGAAUGCGCAGAUAUCAGGAGGAACACCAGUGGCGAAGGCGGUUCUCUGGGCCUUUCCUGACGCUGAGGAGCGAAAGCGUGGGGAGCGAACAGGCUUAGAUACCCUGGUAGUCCACGCUGUAAACGGUGGGUACUAGGUGUGGGGUCCAUUCCACGGGUUCCGUGCCGUAGCUAACGCUUUAAGUACCCCGCCUGGGGAGUACGGCCGCAAGGCUAAAACUCAAAGGAAUUGACGGGGCCCCGCACAAGCGGCGGAGCAUGCGGAUUAAUUCGAUGCAACGCGUAGAACCUUACCUGGGUUUGACAUGGAUCGGGAGUGCUCAGAGAUGGGUGUGCCUCUUUUGGGGUCGGUUCACAGGUGGUGCAUGGCUGUCGUUAGCUCGUGUCGUGAGAUGUUGGGUUAAGUCCCGCAACGAGCGCAACCCUUGUUCACUGUUGCCAGCACGUUAUGGUGGGGACUCAGUGGAGACCGCCGGGGUCAACUCGGAGGAAGGUGGGGAUGACGUCAAGUCAUCAUGCCCCUUAUGUCCAGGGCUUCACGCAUGCUACAAUGGCUGGUACAGAGAGUGGCGAGCCUGUGAGGGUGAGCGAAUCUCGGAAAGCCGGUCUCAGUUCGGAUUGGGGUCUGCAACUCGACCUCAUGAAGUCGGAGUCGCUAGUAAUCGCAGAUCAGCAACGCUGCGGUGAAUACGUUCCCGGGGCU